AUCAUUAUUGUAUUAAAGUGUUGUAUUUUACUUUCAACGCAGAAGAGCAAGAUCUAGCACACAGGUUAUCUUCAAGAGCCGAUGUGAAUUAUGUAUGAGUGUUUAUUGUGUGCAAGAAGGAGUCGCAUUGCCUUUAGGAAGAAUGGACGGAUUAAUAAUUGUAUAUAACAAAUAUGUGUAACAGGGUACAAUUCUUUGUAUGGAUUAGGAAUUGGUUGUAUGUAACCUUUUUAUGCUCGUUUAGUUCAUUCACUGUGACCAUUGAAUUUUCAAUUACUUUUCUUUCGACCACGACCAUAUAGGCAUAGGUUAAUAUGCAAUUUGUGAUCUGUCACAUGAUUGCAGUUAUUUUUCAUAGUUUGAUGAAGGAGGUUGGACUUCUUGUUCAGGAUUUGGACAUAUGUUUUGCUUACCUGUCAUGGACUAUUCCUAGAGGGAGAAGGUUGAGAACGUGUAUAUCCUUUCAUUUCACAAAUGAAUGCGAUUAUCGUGGUUAUUCUCAUGGUUAUUAUCUUGAUUAUCAUAAUACGUUUCAACCUAUACAGUAAACCGUAAAAACCGGACCAUAGUGUGGACGUUUUAAUACGAAUAUGAACGAGCUAAUAUAACUAAUUACAUACAACUUAUUAUAUAUGGACCAGCAGGGCAUGUAACCUGUAUAUUACAUAAGUAUGUGUGAAUAUAUAAACAUUGCAUAUUAGCGUUAUACAAUUAUUAUAUGUUGAUUAAUUGUGAAGGAACGGGACCGUUUGAUUGAAACUGAACGAACUGUAUUGACGCUAUGUUUUGCCUACAAGCGACGGUUCAUAAUCUGGCACAUUUCGGAAAGCUACUCAAGAGGUGGUUACAUUCCUUUCAGCAUAGUUAAACAAUGUUUACGAUCAGAGGAUAAAACCUCCAAGGGUAAUGUUUAUUAAAAUGAUCCCUGUUAUAUGAUAUAUAAUUCAUUGAUAAAUAAACAUCAAUCGUAUCGAUGAAGAACACUUGACUCCUUAUAUCAAUGUAUACGUUUUCAAGCAAAUAAUUUUGUGAAAAUAGAAUAAA